rnacentral:sRNA from 1 species
UUCCUUCCCAAAGCCACUAGAAGCAUUCCUUCUAGGAAAGGUGGAGUCGGUGGUGAGAAGCCGGAGGUGCCCCUACAGACAUACAAGGAGAUUGUUCACUGCUGCGAGGAGCAGGUCUUAACUCUGGCCACUGAACAGACCUAUGCUGUGGAGGGUGAGACACCCAUCAACCGCCUGUCCCUGCUGCUCUCUGGCCGGGUUCGUGUGAGCCAGGAUGGGCAGUUUCUGCACUACAUCUUUCCAUACCAGUUCAUGGACUCUCCUGAGUGGGAAUCACUACAGCCUUCUGAGGAGGGGGUGUUCCAGGUCACUCUGACUGCUGAGACCUCAUGUAGCUACAUAUCCUGGCCCCGGAAAAGCCUCCAUCUUCUUCUGACCAAAGAGCGAUACAUCUCCUGCCUCUUCUCGGCUCUGCUGGGUUAUGACAUCUCGGAGAAGCUCUACACUCUCAAUGAAAAGCUCUUUGCUAAGUUUGGGCUGCGCUUUGACAUCCGCCUUCCCAGCCUUUACCAUGUCCUGGGUCCCACUGCUGCA